CAGCAGCCGCGGUAAUACCGGCGGCCCGAGUGGCGGUCACUAUUAUUGGGCUUAAAGCGUCCGUAGCCGGGUUGGUUAGUCUCCCGGGAAAUCUGGCCGCUUAACGGUCAGAAUUCCGGGAGAUACUGCCAGCCUAGGGACCGGGGGAGGCCGAGGGGAUUCCCGGAGUAGGGGUGAAAUCCUAUAAUCCCGGGAGGACCACCUGUGGCGAAGGCGCUCGGCUGGAACGGGUCCGACGGUGAGGGACGAAGGCCAGGGGAGCAAACCGGAUUAGAUACCCGGGUAGUCCUGGCUGUAAACGAUGCGGACUUUGUGUCGGACAAGCUAUGAGCUUGUCCGGUGCCGGAGGGAAACCGUUAAGUCCGCCGCCUGGGGAGUACGGCCGCAAGGCUGAAACUUAAAGGAAUUGGCGGG
rnacentral:rRNA from 1 species